GCAGGAGGCUAGCAGGAAGGGGCGGCCACUAGGGGACAGAAGGCAACCACCAAGGCUAGCCCAGCCAGCCGAGCCGAAGGAGAGCCGGCCGGCCCCGGCAACCGAGAACUAAGAGGCGUCGGCACCAACCCCCACGAGGACGUGCGCCCGUCCGGAGGCGGCAUAAGCGCCGGCAACCCGUCCCUAGGCUGCCGUACCCAAAUCUGAUACGGUGUGAUACGGCCCGAAACGUGUAUCAUCAGGUACAUUUCUUCUCAUCCAUACAUAGUCAUGGGGAGAAGGAGAAUCGGAGAGUUUGGAGAAUCAGAGGGAGAUUGGAGAUACAGCAGUAGACACAGCGGCGGCUGCUUUUGCGUGCAGUGCAGGAGCAGAGGAGCUAUUAGGGCCACGAUCCCAAUUUCCCAACAUGAGUAUACGAAGCCCUCGUGCUCACCGUGCUGCCGCGCGCCUUUCCGCCUCCCCAGAUCUCUAGCUCUACUGCAUGAUGUCUCGAUGGCUCGAGGCGCCCGCGCACCGCCAGGGCUUCACUUCACUCCGUCGCUUUGCGCUAUGCCUCCGGCCUCCAGUCCUCCACGACAAUCGCAAGGCGAGCAGGCUGCAGCGAGCCAGGCCAGCGAUGGCAUUGCCGAGUAUGGAUUGUGUACUCAAAUUAUUGUGGUUUAAUUGCUACUUUCACUUUCACUUUUUUGUUGUUACUGCGUAGACA